rnacentral:piRNA from 1 species
AAGAAGGAUGUACCUAUCUCCUAAAGUGUCUU